CUCCCGGGGCCCUGCCUGGCGCUUCGUCCCGGCCUGAGGCCCAUACAAGGCGCUUCCUUCCCGCCGCGUCUGGCAGGCGGCCCGCAGGCGGCUGUGGGCGGGAGCUCGGCCCUCCGGGUCCGCCCGCGCCCGGGAGCCCGCGGCCAGGGGACUCUGCCAAGGAGGGGGCGGCGGCGGCGGCGGGGCCGGGAACGCGUGGCCUGGCCGGGCUGAGGAAACGGCAACCCCUCCCGGCAACCCCUCCCGGCCCUCGUACAGCGCCUCCAGGGACUUAAACUUGCCUCAGCCACGUGAUUACCCUGAUCUGCCUGCUGAGAGAUGAGCAAAGGUGGAGAGGGACUAGAUCUCAGCAGAGACAGCAGUUCCUGAGCGCCCACCCCCCAGCGCUUCCAGAAAUGCAAUGCAACAUGGACCAGCCUGUGAGCAUUUGCUCCUCCUCAGCAGCAGCAGCAGCAGCAGCAGCAGCGUUUCCUUCCGGCUGCCAGCUACCACCCCCUUCUGCUCCAGGCUGAGGGCAGGACAAGGUUUCCUUUGGGUGAGGAUGAAGAAUCAAGCAGAAGGGGCUGAGCCCAGGCAGGGUUUCUCACCAAAGUGGACAAGCCAGAAGUCUGACUGUAAGGGAAACCUAGAUGGUGCUAACAUGGAACCCUGGAGGCUGGAGAAGCAAGUUAAUCUAUACACUCAAGCCAACCCUGACUCACAGGGAAGUGACUUCAAAACAACUUUCAUAACUCCACCUGGAUGCUGGCCACCUUUCCCUUCUCAGCUCUGUCUUUGGCUUCGUGCCACUCCCUUAUUCUCUGAUCCUCCCUUUUCUUAUCUCUAACGAGGAGAAGGGGCCUAGAUGAAAAAUAACAAGAUCCCACGUUUGGUAAGAGCACUGAAUUUGGAGCUGUAACAGCUGCUCAUGUUGGCUCUCCUCAUUUCCUGCAUGAGCUUGAC
ensembl:lncRNA